ACAGAUGGGAGCUUGCUCCCUGAUGUUAGCGGCGGACGGGUGAGUACACGUGGGUAACCUGCCUGUAAGACUGGGAUAACUCCGGGAAACCGGGGCUAAUACCGGAUGCUUGUUUGAACCGCAUGGUUCAAACAUAAAAGGUGGCUUCGGCUACCACUUACAGAUGGACCCGCGGCGCAUUAGCUAGUUGGUGAGGUAAUGGCUCACCAAGGCAACGAUGCGUAGCCGACCUGAGAGGGUGAUCGGCCACACUGGGACUGAGACACGGCCCAGACUCCUACGGGAGGCAGCAGUAGGGAAUCUUCCGCAAUGGACGAAAGUCUGACGGAGCAACGCCGCGUGAGUGAUGAAGGUUUUCGGAUCGUAAAGCUCUGUUGUUAGGGAAGAACAAGUACCGUUCGAAUAGGGCGGUACCUUGACGGUACCUAACCAGAAAGCCACGGCUAACUACGUGCCAGCAGCCGCGGUAAUACGUAGGUGGCAAGCGUUGUCCGGAAUUAUUGGGCGUAAAGGGCUCGCAGGCGGUUCCUUAAGUCUGAUGUGAAAGCCCCCGGCUCAACCGGGGAGGGUCAUUGGAAACUGGGGAACUUGAGUGCAGAAGAGGAGAGUGGAAUUCCACGUGUAGCGGUGAAAUGCGUAGAGAUGUGGAGGAACACCAGUGGCGAAGGCGACUCUCUGGUCUGUAACUGACGCUGAGGAGCGAAAGCGUGGGGAGCGAACAGGAUUAGAUACCCUGGUAGUCCACGCCGUAAACGAUGAGUGCAAGUGUUAGGGGGUUU
rnacentral:rRNA from 2 species